rnacentral:sRNA from 1 species
GUGACGUGUGAACAACAAGAU